CAUUUUUUGAAGAGUCCCACAAUAGGACGAAACGGUCGUCAAGUGC
rnacentral:hammerhead_ribozyme from 1 species